rnacentral:rRNA from 1 species
GUGUCAGCAGCCGCGGUAAGACGGAGGAGGCAAGCGUUAUCCGGAAUUAUUGGGCGUAAAGGGUCCGCAGGUGGCAGUUCAAGUCUGCAGUCAAAGGUCGGGGCUCAACCCCGGAAAGGCUGUGGAAACUGAACAGCUAGAGUACGGUAGGGGCAGAGGGAAUUCCCAGUGUAGCGGUGAAAUGCGUAGAGAUUGGGAAGAACACCGGUGGCGAAAGCGCUCUGCUAGGCCGAAACUGACACUGAGGGACGAAAGCUAGGGGAGCGAAAGGGAUUAGAUACCCCUGUAGUCCUAGCUGUAAACGAUGGAGACUAGGUGUGGCCUGUAUCGACCCGGGCCGUGCCGGAGCUAACGCGUUAAGUCUCCCGCCUGGGGAGUACGCACGCAAGUGUGAAACUUAAAUGAAUUGACGGGG